UGAAAAUACAUUCACCUUCCGGGCAUUCACCGCGGUGAACCGCGGUACCUAAAAGAAACAAUUUUACCGCGGCCGUUGCAAAAAGGAAAAACAUGAUUGGAAAUCAAGGCGACGGAGAGUCAAAAAUCGUCAACAUAAUAAUCCUCGUAGUCUCCUGCUUAGUAGGCAUCAUAAUCUCGGUUGCCCUCGCACACAUCAACCAUGCCACCCUCCAGCAAGCUGCCUCCGCCGCGGAAACUUUAAGAAAUGAAUCAUCAAAUGCGGACGUCCUCCGGAUAUGCAACGAGCUAAUGGAUUCGGCCGUUGGCGAUCUGAACAUUGCUCUAAAGCUUUUGACUUCGAAUCGGAAUUCGUCAACCUCCAAUGCCACCCUCCAGCAAGCUGUCGCAGCCGCGGCAGCUUUAAGAAAUGAAUCAUCGAAUGCGGACGUCCUCCAGAUAUGCAACGAGCUAAUGGAUUCGGCCGUCGGCGAUCUGAACAUUGCUCUAAAGCUUUUGACUUUGAAUCGGAAUUCGUCAACCUCUCCGGAGAAUUUCCACACGGUAAUGGAUCGGCUGAGCGCCGCCGUGGCGUACCAAAUCUCCUGCCGGGAUGGUCUCCGCCGGAUCGGUGACAUCAGGACCCGGCUCGGAAAACCGAUAAAGAUGACGAGCAAUUCGUUAGCGAUCGUCACCUCAACUUUCAACAACAGAAAUGAAACUUCUCCCCCGAUCCGGAGCUCCAACACGGUGGGUUCAGAACCGACCCGACCCGACGCGGUGGUCGCC
rnacentral:lncRNA from 1 species